UCAGGCCUAACACAUGCAAGUCGAGCGGCAGCGGGAAAGUAGCUUGCUACUUUUGCCGGCGAGCGGCGGACGGGUGAGUAAUGCCUGGGAAAUUGCCCAGUCGAGGGGGAUAACAGUUGGAAACGACUGCUAAUACCGCAUACGCCCUACGGGGGAAAGCAGGGGACCUUCGGGCCUUGCGCGAUUGGAUAUGCCCAGGUGGGAUUAGCUAGUUGGUGAGGUAAUGGCUCACCAAGGCGACGAUCCCUAGCUGGUCUGAGAGGAUGAUCAGCCACACUGGAACUGAGACACGGUCCAGACUCCUACGGGAGGCAGCAGUGGGGAAUAUUGCACAAUGGGGGAAACCCUGAUGCAGACAUGCCGCGUGUGUGAAGAAGGCCUUCGGGUUGUAAAGCAAAUGCAGCGAGGAGGAAAGGUUGAUGCCUAAUACGUAU
rnacentral:rRNA from 1 species